CCUACGGGAGGCUGCAGUGAGGAAUAUUGGUCAAUGGUCGGGAGCCUGAACCAGCCAAGCCGCGUGAGGGAUGACGGUCCUGCGUAUCGUAAACCUCUUUUGUCAGGGAACAAGGGCGGGUACGUGUCCCCGCCUGAGUGUACCCGACGAAAAAGCCUCGGCUAACCCCGUUCCAGCAGCCGCGGUAAUACGGAGGAUGCGGGCGUUAUCCGGCUUUAUUGGGGUUAAAGGGUGCGCAGGCGGUCUGUCAAGUCCGCGGUCAAAGCCCGGGGCUCAACCCCGGCCCGCCGUUGAAACUGGCGGUCGCGAGUGGGAGAGAAGUAUGCGGAAUGCGCGGUGUAGCGGUGAAAUGCAAAGAUAUCGCGCAGAACUCCGAUUGCGAAGGCAGCAUGCCGGCGCCAAACUGACGCUGAGGCACGAAAGCGUGGGUAUCGAACAGGAUUAGAUACCCGUGUAGUC
rnacentral:rRNA from 1 species